CAGGAUUAAUUAUGCACGUGUUUUAAUCUGUGUAAUAAGAGGAGGAUGAAUACAGGUAUGAUAUUUGAAUAUAGGUGUAGCAAAUGGAAUUAUUGGCCCCCGUUCUUCACUCCUCCUUGUGUUCAAGUUCUUUCCCUUAUAACUUUGCAGUUCUUUCCACUAAAGGGCAAGUGUUUUUCCAGACUCGUUGCCUUUGGCCUCAGCUUUAUGACGUAUUCUGGCCAACAGAAUAAGAACCUAAGUUAUGUUGCCAGUUCUCAGCCGGCAUCUCAGGAGGCCUGUCUUGAUUUUUGUUUGUUCUCUUUCACUUCUGCCAAUACCAUGAGAAGAGCUUUACUGGUAUUUGCUGGAGCAGACUGAGCUUAGACUAUAAUAAGGAAGCAAGCCCAUCCAGACACAGAGAUUGAAGCAGAGUCACCCUGCCAAGUCCAGGCUAGAUCAGCUGACCCAAGCAACUCCCCAGAAUAAAUGCUAUAGAGAGUAUUUAGAUAGAGACAGCUGAAUCAUCUGACAAUAAUAAGAUAUGAAUAAUGUAUACAAAAUGCUAACAGAUCUGGUCAUUAUAUCAAAAUGAUGGGAUAAUACAUCAUGGAACCCUGAUCAAACUAGAAAAAUACAUCAUUUCUAGGGCAGCCCAGUUUACAAAAACCUGAAAUAAGUCUGCACAGUCCCAAAGUCUAUUGGAACAUGGAUCAAGGAUCAAGAAAAUGAAGGCUGGAGAGACAAAGCUGUAACAAUCAGUGCUAACAAGGAUAGAAACUUGGGAAUUAUAUUAUGAUGAUCGGCCAGAGCAGUCAUGAAGUGAGAAGUACGUAUUCUGUUAUCUAGACUCAUGGAGUAAAAGCUCUGUUCAGUCCACAGGAGAGGUUUCGCAAGAAGAGUUGACGCUGCUCCAGUCCGGUAACUGUUCCUAGACCUGUGAGUGAGAUCUUACUCGCUGAAGCGGAUCUGACCAAAGUGUUAAGACUCCACCUUAAGGGUUUAUUUUUUUUUAAUUAUCUUUUUGUAAUUUGAAUGUACUCUCCAUACAAGUUUGUGCUUAAAUCAUUGUCAGCGAAGCUUUUCUUCAUUUUGAUGAAUCACCAGUUAUAAAAAACCUUUAGUGUGUAUAUCUGGAUCUUGUGGUCCCUGUGUGACUAUUAGAAUGAAGAGACUUGAAGAAUGAAGAGUGAGCAAAGCCAGACCUUCAUGAUCCUGAUGUUCACGAUCCAUGGUACUAUUCAGAGAGAACACAACAGCGUUAUUCGAAGUACACCACUGAGUAGAGGAACUGCUUUCUGAGGAGUUACAACCCAUUGUUAUUUAAAUAAGGUAUUGUUUUAAUUUUUUCCAUAAUUUUCCCCAGCUAUGUUAUAAUGGAACUUGUCUUUUCUCUCACUUGGGGCCAUCUUCAUUGACUCUGUUGCACAGAUGCACUAACUUUUCAGCCACUUA
rnacentral:lncRNA from 1 species